rnacentral:sRNA from 1 species
UUUGCUUGGAACCAAAGUAAGUCUAUUAAUUUAGAUCUCAGGUUAUUAAUUUUUCUUAUGUAAGUCUAUGUCAUAGGCGAACUGAAGAGGGAGUACAAAAAUCAUAUAUAUGAAAGUUGGUCAACUCUCUCCAUAUGAGUAACACAUCAUCAUACCAGUGAAUGUCACAUGUCAUUCUAAAUUAAUAUUAUUAAAAACAAAUUUAGUGAUAAAGAAUUAAAAGUUUCACAUUGCAUUGAAUCAUCCAUUAAUCCCACUCUUAACUAAAUAUCUUCAUAUAAAAGAAAAAAUACAAAAAAAUCAUGUUAAUGUAUCAAACACUACUCUCAUUUUACUUUUCUUAUUUUGCUAUUUUUUAAUAGUCAUUACUUGAUAAGGACUAGAAUUUUUCGUGUUUUGUAACUUAGUUGUUUGCUAUUUAACUUUUUUUAGUUUAGUAAUUUUAACUUAAUCUUUUCUUUUUAUUAUAUUUUUUGUCUACAUGAUAUGGUUUUUUUGCGCAAAAUAUGAUUAAUCGGUAACAUUAAUAAUGACAUGCAUAUUUUUUUUAAUAAUGGUCUUUUGAGAGGUUAGAUAUACCAAAAAGUUAAAUAUACGACUCUCUCUCCAAUAUGAAUAUGACUAUAUCUAUAUAUACAUUUUUGCAGCCAUUUUGUGAAAUAAAUCCUGGAGUUGGAACUUAUUUACAAUAGAUGCCACUGGCUUUUAAUUAUUGGGGUUUUCAGCAAUAAAUUGAUUAACAAACGAAAAACAUUCCAAAUAUAUUCUAAUCCCAUAUAUCACGCAGAUUUUUCCAAAAUUUGAAAUAGAUUUCGGUAACUAUUUAAAAUAAAAAAUGUUUGACAACCCAAAAGACAAUUGCAAUCCCUUAAAAUGAGCAAAACGCAACUAAAUAUAUUUCUUAUCAAUUCACUAAAUCUUAUUUCUCCAAAAUUUGAACUAAAUUUCGACAACUAUUUAAAACAAAAUUUUGUUUGACAAACUAAAACACAAUUGCAAUCCCUUAAAAUAUUUAUUU